AUGGUCUGGCAGCAGUCGUAGUUAAUGUGAAUGAGAGGAAGAUAAUGGCUUAUCACUAUGGCGUUUUUACAGUGACCGCCUAUGACCGCCAACGAUCUACCGACAGCAGAAUCCAUUGCCAUUGAGAAGGUGGCCAAAUGUGUCGCCAAACUUUCACCGCCAGGGGUGCUAACAACAAGCAAGCAUCUCAAGUCCUGCGUGAAAGGAUCAAAUGUGAGCUGACCUGGGCUCCUGACAGGAUUUUCAUACUCUUCAUUGACAUGGAUGCAGCCGAUAAGGCCUGAUGGGCCAUGAUCAAACAUCGGCAGAAGGAGUUUAAACCCUGGAUUGAUUACCAUUGAAUUCAAUGGGGAAUAAACUGUAUGAUCUUAAAAGCACAUAUCUCGUAGCAUUGCACUGAUCUUUUUUUAUUAAACAAUUCCUACAGAACAUAAA